rnacentral:lncRNA from 1 species
CUAAUGAAUUGUUUUACUUCUGUUGUGACUGUGGUAUUUGGGGCUAAUUCAGGCCACGCUGAGAUCUCUAGUUACUUAAAGCUGUGUCAACCAAAUUGAAACUCAGUUGCGGGUGAUUCCAUGCAGACCUCAAGCUCACUUGCUUUGCCUUUCUCUGAGUAUACGUUUUCCCUACUGACAGGGAGCAAAAAGCAGGACCUGGGGUUAGAGCUCCAUCUCCAAACUGAGAAACAGGCACUUUUAAUCACAAUUCUUCUCUUUUGAAGUUGCUUUCUCGAUCUGAGCCCCAGCCUUGUGCUGCUGACACCUCUGAGAGCUGAGCCUCAACCAGGAGCCAUCUUUGGCCUAUUGGACUCAAAGUGGAAAAAUCACAAAACAGUAUGUGUAUGAAGUCACCAGUACAAAUUAAUUAUAUCUUUCAAUUCACUGUGUCUUAAUAAUAGGCUGAAGAGCUUUGAGGAGUUGAUGGCAGCAUCAGGUCAUGUAGCAGAAGUGAAUGCGGUAACUGCAAGGAAGAGCUGGAAAAAGCAGAGCUGCUGUCUGCAGAGUAGCCCUGUUGUGUUAUUUAUCCCCCGCUUAACUGAUGAAUCUGCCAGGUCAGCUGUCGAUCCAAGGAAUGAGUUCGUGUCCUGCCUCUGCUGCCUGGCAUGGCAGAGCCAAGACUGGGCACAGUGUCAGCAGGCGAGCCUUGCAAACUUGCCCAGAGCCAAGGGCUGAUGCAGGCUGCACUGAUGCGUGUUGUUUUCUUCCCUUUUUGCCUUCUCCACAACUCCUAGAAUGUGUUUGCAUAUGGUGGAAAAAACGCAAGGAGCAGCGAGAUGCAGCCAGGGACGUCGCCCUGUCUGUCAGCACUGGGCUUGGACUGGGACCAUCAUCACCGUAGAGACUGGGGCAGCUCCUGCAGCUUUUAGAAGUUGACCAGCUCAGAGAUGUGCUGAGGUUUUGGGGAAAUCCAUUGUGAAAUUAAAAUAGAGGAAAACUCAUCUAUCUUCUGCACAAUCUGGGUGAACACAGACUUGCAGCAAAGGCUGUUUUGAUGAGAAAACUGGCUAGCAAGUAUGAAAUAUUUAACAAACUUUCAAACCCAUCUUCUCCUCCUCAUUUCAUUAAUAGGUAUCUUUUAUCCUGUCCUAAGCAACAGCAAGAAGACUUAAUUAGUCUAACAAGUACAACAAAUAGUUUUAUUGACAAAAAAGAACCCUUUGAAAUAUACAUUACAUUCACUGGGGAUUAAAUUACACCCUAUUAUCCAUUUUCCAUAAAAUAAAG